UACGGAGGGUGCAAGCGUUAUCCGGAUUCACUGGGUUUAAAGGGUGCGUAGGUGGGCUAGUAAGUCCGUGGUGAAAUCUCCAAGCUUAACUUGGAAACUGCCGUGGAUACUAUUAGUCUUGAAUAUUUGUGGAGGUAAGCGGAAUAUGUCAUGUAGCGGUGAAAUGCUUAGAUAUGACAUAGAACACCGAUAGCGAAGGCAGCUUGCUACACAAUUAUUGACACUGAGGCACGAAAGCGUGGGGAUCAAACAGG
rnacentral:rRNA from 1 species